CCUACGGGAGGCAGCAGUGAGGAAUAUUGGUCAAUGGCCGGAAGGCUGAACCAGCCAAGCCGCGUGAAGGACGAAGGUGCCAAGCAUUGUAAACUUCUUUUGUCAAGGGACAAAAUCAGGCUCGAGAGCCUGACCGAGGGUACUUUAAGAAAAAGCAUCGGCUAACUCCGUGCCAGCAGCCGCGGUAAUACGGAGGAUGCGAGCGUUAUCCGGAUUUAUUGGGUUUAAGGGGUGCGUAGGCGGACUGUUAAGUCAGAGGUAAAAGCCCGGGGCUCAACCCCGGCGAGCCGUUGAAACGGGCGGUCUUGAGAUGUCGAGAGGUAUGCGGAAUGCGCAGUGUAGCGGUGAAAUGCUUAGAGAUUGCGCAGAACUCCGAUUGCGAAGGCAGCAUACCGGCGGCGAUCUGACGCUGAGGCACGAAAGCGUGGGUAUCGAACAGGAGUAGAUACCCUUGUAGUC
rnacentral:rRNA from 1 species